UUCCCAGGCCAGGGAUUGACCUUAAGCCACAGCAGUAACCCAAGCCAGCAGUGACAAUACCGAGUCCUUAACUGCUAGGCCUCUAGGGAACUCCUAAAAUCUGCAUUUUAAAAUAGGGAAGCAAUCUAAAAAAAUAAAAAUAAAACAGGGAAGUGGAGAAAUGUUCUGAUUCUGCUUUUUAAUGGCUCAGAGCAAUGGCUUUAAGGACUGUCCCUCAAACUGCAUGUGAAUAUUCCUAGCCAGCCUCUGCUUUAUCAUACUUGGUCUCAGUAAGAUGAGACUUUAUUCCAGUUGAAUGGGUCAUCUUGCACACUGGCUGAGGGAAACUAUACACUGACAAAACUUCUGGAGUCCAGCAGCUGUAGGAGACAAGUAUAAAAUUGGAAAGCCUGAGAUUGGUCAAGGCAAGACCAGACCAGUGUGAGUUUAUUGAGGCAGGACGACUAUCAAAAAGGGGUGCAGAGAAGUCAGACUGAAAUCUGAUAGGAUAAGAUGGAGAAAACUUCAUUCAACAGAAGUCCUUAGAGGCAGGGCUCUGGCUUGUGAUGAGUGCAUUGACAAAUGAGUUGGACGGCGUUCUCAUCUUGAGACCCAAGGAUGAAGAUGCAGGUCCGGCCUAAGCUGGGAGAAAGGGAAGGCUUCACACAGCAUGUGAAAUUGAACUUUGAUUUACAUUGGACAGGACUUUCCAGAUCCUGAAGUUUCAGCUGGAUUUAAUACAGAUCACUUCAAUAAUUUGUCAAGAAUUUCCAAGAUCCCUGUUUACAGAUUAACGGAUUCAGCACAAUGGCAUCAGAAACAUUUUUAAAGAUCAAGAUGACAAGAUUUGUUUAC
rnacentral:lncRNA from 1 species